rnacentral:snRNA from 1 species
AGCUUUGCNCACUGACAGUAUUGUAGCCAAUGAGAUUUAUCCAAGGUGCAAUUAUUGCUAAUUAAAAAUUUGACAUG